rnacentral:rRNA from 1 species
GAUGAACGCUGGCGGCGUGCUUAACACAUGCAAGUCGAACGGGAAAUAUUUCAUUGAGCCUUCGGUGGAUUUGAUUUAUUUCUAGUGGCGGACGGGUGAGUAACGCGUGGGUAACCUGCCUUAUACAGGGGGAUAACAGUCAGAAAUGGCUGCUAAUACCGCAUAAGCGCACAGAGCUGCAUGGCUCAGUGUGAAAAACUCCGGUGGUAUAAGAUGGACCCGCGUUGGAUUAGCUAGUUGGUGGGGUAACGGCCCACCAAGGCGACGAUCCAUAGCCGGCCUGAGAGGGUGAACGGCCACAUUGGGACUGAGACACGGCCCAGACUCCUACGGGAGGCAGCAGUGGGGAAUAUUGCACAAUGGGGGAAACCCUGAUGCAGCGACGCCGCGUGAAGGAAGAAGUAUCUCGGUAUGUAAACUUCUAUCAGCAGGGAAGAUAGGGACGGUACCUGACUAAGAAGCCCCGGCUAACUACGU